rnacentral:lncRNA from 1 species
AUGUCAGUUUUCAUUCCAAUCCCAAAGAAAGGCAAUGCAAAAGAAUGCUCAAACUACCACACAAUUGCACUCAGCUCACAUGCUAGUAAAGUAAUGCUCAAAAUUCUCCAAGCCAGGCUUCAGCAAUACGUGAACCGUGAACUCCCUGAUGUUCAAGCUGGUUUUAGAAAAGGCAGAGGAACCAGAGAUCAAAUUGCCAACAUUCGCUGGAUCAUCGAAAAAGCAAGAGAAUUUCAGAAAAACAUCUAUUUCUGCUUUAUUGACUAUGCCAAAGCCUUUGACUAUGUGGGUCACAAUAAACUGUGGAAAAUUCUGAAACGGAUGGGAAUACCAGACCACCUGACCUGCCUCUUGAGAAUCCUGUAUGCAGGUCAGGAAGCAACAGUUAAAAGUGGACAUGGAACAACAGACUGGUUCCAAAUAGGAAAAGGAGUGCAUCAAGGCUGUAUAUUGUCACCCUGCUUAUUUAACUUCUAUGCAGAGUACAUCAUGAGAAACGCUGGACUGGAAGAAACACAAGCUGGAAUCAAGAUUGCCCGGAGAAAUAUCAAUACCCUCAGAUAUGCAGAUGACACCACCCUUAAGGCAGAAAGUGAAGAGGAACUAAAAAGCCUCUUGAUGCAAGUGAAAGAGGAGAGUGAAAAAGUUGGCUUAAAACUCAACAUUCAGAAAACGAAGAUCAUGGCAUCCGGUCCCAUCACUUCAUGGGAAAUAGAUGGGGAAACAGUGGAAACAGUGUCAGACUUUAUUUUUUUGGGCUCCAAAAUCACUGCAGAUGGUGACUGCAGCCAUGAAAUUAAAAGACGCUUACUCCUUGGAAGAAAAGUUAUGACCAACCUAGACAGCAUACUGAAAAGCAGAGACAUUACUUUGCCAACAAAGGUCUAUCUAGUCAAGGUUGUGGUUUUUCCAGUGGUCAUGUAUGGAUGUGAGAGUUGGACUGUGAAGAAGGCUGAGCACCAAAGAAUGGAUGCUUUUGGAUGUGAAGAAUGGAUGUGGUGUUGGAGAAGACUCUUGAGAGUCCCUUGGACUGCAAGGAGAUCCAUCCAGUCCAUUCUGAAGGAGAUCAGCCCUGGGUGUUCUUUGAAAGGACUGAUGCUAAAGCUGAAACUCCAGUAUUUUGGCCACCUCAUGUGA